CAUUAACCUGCUGUAUUGUAGAUAAAAUAAAGAAACCCCUUUGUGAACUAUUCCAAAGGUCAAAUGUAAAAAUGGAGUUCCACUAUGGCAGUAAGGGGUGCAGGGCAUGAGUAAUUGGAUGCAUAUAAGAACAAAUUACAAUAUAUGGAUAUGAAUAUGCAAGGAGCAGAUUUACAGAAAUUUUCGAUCAGAACCAAUGAACUGUUCCUGAAAGCCAGAGGAAGAAUUAUGUUUAUAACUCUUCGAUAACAUGACACUGACUGCCUGAUCAUUUUCUAAGAACAAUUGAAACACUAAAAUUCAUAAAAUUUAAUAUACUUAUCAUUGUA